rnacentral:lncRNA from 1 species
AAGCUCGUUACACAGCACUGUGCUGCUGUGGAGGCCGAGAAUUCUGUGCUGAGGGCUCAGAUGAUGGAGCUGAGCAGUAGGCUGCAAUCCCUCGAUGACAGACUCCACAACCUGAAUGGAAACAACGGCAGCAAUCACCUUCUGUGUGAUGGUCCUCAGUUCACUGACAACAUCGUCAGUCCAUGGAACUUCAACUAUAUGAAUCAGCCUAUCAUGGCUUCAGCAGAGGACAUGCUUUACUUCUGAGAGAGAUGUAGCCAUUGAACCUGUUAGAAGAAACCUGAGCAUUGCAGGUCACACUUAUUGAGUCCUAAAACCAUGAAGGUUGUAUAGAUAGUCUUAUCAUCUACUUUUUUGUCUCUCUCAGCAACAAACGCAGAAACAAAGACUGCUAUAAUCUUGAAGAUAUAGUAAUUGUAGUAACGAUGGUGAUGAUGAUGGUUUCCGCGUAGGAAGAGAGGGUGUGGAAUUGAGUACUAAUAGAAAUGGUUGUGGUAAUAAUACUUGUAAUGGUAACAGGAGAGAGAGCGUAUCGAAAAGAAGAGCAAUAAUUUUCCUACCCCAUCAAAUUUCCGCGAGCCUACCUGCCUUGUGAUUGGAAGCAGUCCAUGGGUCCCAACAUCAGCCAACCAAGAAAGUAAUUGAGCCGGCCCAAGGAGGGCCACGGC